rnacentral:rRNA from 1 species
UGGGGAAUAUUGGACAAUGGGCGAAAGCCUGAUCCAGCGACGCCGCGUGAAUGAUGAAGGCCUUCGGGUUGUAAAGUUCUUUUGGCAGGGAAGAUAGUGACGGUACCUGCAGAAUAAGCCCCGGCUAACUCUGUGCCAGCAGCCGCGGUAAGACAGAGGGGGCUAGCGUUGUUCGGAAUCACUGGGCGUAAAGGGCGCGUAGGCGGCCAUAUAAGUCAGAGGUGAAAUCCCGGAGCUUAACUUCGGAACUGCCUUUGAUACUGUUUGGCUUGAGGUCGAAAGAGGGUAGCGGAAUUCCUAGUGUAGAGGUGAAAUUCGUAGAUAUUAGGAGGAACACCAGUUGCGAAGGCGGCUACCUGGUUCGAUACUGACGCUGAGGCGCGAAAGCGUGGGGAGCAAACA